GAGCCGCCGCGGGCUCCGAGGAGUCGGCCGAGCUGCUCCCGCGCCCUGGCCGGGUAAGUGACGCCGGCCGCGGGCCCGGGGCGGCCGCCGCGCGCGCCACCCCCGCUGCCUCCCCGCCCCCGGCGGCCCCGGAGCACCCCCACCAUCCCCUGCCCCCUCCCCCACCGGAUCGCCCCAGCCCCCUCCUCUUGCCCCCGGCGCAGCUGGGCUCCGCUUGGAUUUCGGUGACGCUGUGGCUCUGUUCGUUUGCUGCUGCUGCUGCUGCUGCUGCUGCUGCAGCCAGGGGGAAGGGGUGGGGAGAGUUGGGGUGGGGGCGGCAGAGCAGUGUGGAGAGCAGUGCCCCUCCACUCGUUUGUUGCCUCUUGGGGUCAGGACCUCCCCGCCUGGGCCAGCCCAGCGGACGGCCCCGGUGCGCGCUCGCCUUGCGCCACCGCCUCCGGGACCCAGGCGGAGCGCGCCACUCAGCCCGGGAGGUGGGGCCGGGCAGUGACCCCGCGCGAAGUGCCAGUGCGGAGGGCGGGGGUGGUUACCGAAAGAUGUAAUCCCAGGAGGGGCCGCCGCCUUCGCUGUCCCCUACCUGUACCCUCUCUUUAUCCUACCCUCCAUUCCCCGACCCUUUUCUCCCUCUCUUCUCCCCGUUCUUUUCUACUCCCCUCAUUGCUUUUCUCAGACCGGCCUUAGGGUUGAGAACCUGCUCAAGAGGUCGCCUUCCAAAGGCUGACCUUGCCAAAGCCACCCACGUCUGUGAGAGCUUUUCCAAAGAUUGACUCUUUCCUCAUCUUUGUGGCCCGAGGGUUCACUUUUUUUCCGUAGGGUGGAACUCUUUCUCCUACAGAGGCUUUUUAGACGAGUGUCUUUGUGCUGCGGUUGGCACAGCAGUACUAGGAGGUUAGGUAAUGACAGGGGAGGAAAACAAAGGCAACAAAUAGGGGGAAAAAGGGAGGGCAAUGUCACCAACAACAGAGGGGGCUUUCUGUAUUCCCAGAAAAGAUGGUUUCCUUUGCGGAAUGCUUCCAGCAUC
rnacentral:lncRNA from 1 species